CCAACCGGGUAACUGGCCUUCCACCACAAUAUUUUAAGUUAUCUUUAUAAUUUUGGUAAUAAAUUCCUACGAGCUGGUAAUUAUAUCCUUCAAAUUUAGAUAACAUUCUUUACCAUAAUUUUAAUCAAGUGCACUACAAGUUGUGGUGCUGACGAGAUCUACAUUUUGGUGUGGUUUAUUACCAUAGUGCUCAACUCAAGUCAAAAUGGCGAAAUUAAUCCUAUUCUGCCCGUGGAAGAAAGUGAUAAAAACUUCUGGAAAUUAUAUAGAAUUUUUGGAAACAGUGAAGCAAAAAUUUGAGUUGGAAAUCAGAACAGAGAUUUUUCUGCAAGACGUCAACCGGUGUGGGCUCAUCCAAAAUCGACUGGAGAUUCAUCGGAAUUUGAAGGGGGGACAGACGAGUGUCAAAAACCAUAGUUUGCA